AUUGAACGCUGGCGGCAGGCCUAACACAUGCAAGUCGAACGAGUGGCGGACGGGUGAGUAGUGGCUGGGCAACUGUCUGAUGGAGGGGGAUAACUACGAGAAACGGUAGCUACUACCGCAUACCAUCAUAUGUGCCCAGGUGGGAUUAGCUUGUUGGUGGGGUAACGGCUCACCAAGGCGACGAUCCCUAGCAGGUCUGAGAGGAGGAACAGCCACACUGGAACUGAGACACGGCCCAGACUCCUACGGGAGGCAGCAGUGGGGAAUAUUCGGCAAUGGGCGCAAGCCUGAUCCAGCAAUGCCGCGUGUAUGAAGAAGGCUUUCGGGUUGUAAAGUACUUUCAGCGGGGAGGCGGUACCUGCAGAAGAAGCACCGGCUAACUCCGUGCCAGCAGCCGCGGUAAUAC
rnacentral:rRNA from 1 species